UAAGCGACUAAGCGUACACGGUGGAUGCCCUGGCAGUCAGAGGCGAUGAAGGACGUGCUAAUCUGCGAUAAGCGUCGGUAAGGUGAUAUGAACCGUUAUAACCGGCGAUUUCCGAAUGGGGAAACCCAGUGUGUUUCGACACACUAUCAUUAACUGAAUCCAUAGGUUAAUGAGGCGAACCGGGGGAACUGAAACAUCUAAGUACCCCGAGGAAAAGAAAUCAACCGAGAUUCCCCCAGUAGCGGCGAGCGAACGGGGAGCAGCCCAGAGCCUGAAUCAGUGUGUGUGUUAGUGGAAGCGUCUGGAAAGGCGCGCGAUACAGGGUGACAGCCCCGUACACAAAAAUGCACAUGCUGUGAGCUCGAUGAGUAGGGCGGGACACGUGGUAUCCUGUCUGAAUAUGGGGGGACCAUCCUCCAAGGCUAAAUACUCCUGACUGACCGAUAGUGAACCAGUACCGUGAGGGAAAGGCGAAAAGAACCCCGGCGAGGGGAGUGAAAAAGAACCUGAAACCGUGUACGUACAAGCAGUGGGAGCCUCUUUAUGGGGUGACUGCGUACCUUUUGUAUAAUGGGUCAGCGACUUAUAUUCUGUAGCAAGGUUAACCGAAUAGGGGAGCCGAAGGGAAACCGAGUCUUAACUGGGCGUUAAGUUGCAGGGUAUAGACCCGAAACCCGGUGAUCUAGCCAUGGGCAGGUUGAAGGUUGGGUAACACUAACUGGAGGACCGAACCGACUAAUGUUGAAAAAUUAGCGGAUGACUUGUGGCUGGGGGUGAAAGGCCAAUCAAACCGGGAGAUAGCUGGUUCUCCCCGAAAGCUAUUUAGGUAGCGCCUCGUGAACUCAUCUCCGGGGGUAGAGCACUGUUUCGGCAAGGGGGUCAUCCCGACUUACCAACCCGAUGCAAACUGCGAAUACCGGAGAAUGUUAUCACGGGAGACACACGGCGGGUGCUAACGUCCGUCGUGAAGAGGGAAACAACCCAGACCGCCAGCUAAGGUCCCAAAGUCAUGGUUAAGUGGGAAACGAUGUGGGAAGGCCCAGACAGCCAGGAUGUUGGCUUAGAAGCAGCCAUCAUUUAAAGAAAGCGUAAUAGCUCACUGGUCGAGUCGGCCUGCGCGGAAGAUGUAACGGGGCUAAACCAUGCACCGAAGCUGCGGCAGCGACGCUUAUGCGUUGUUGGGUAGGGGAGCGUUCUGUAAGCCUGUGAAGGUGUACUGUGAGGUAUGCUGGAGGUAUCAGAAGUGCGAAUGCUGACAUAAGUAACGAUAAAGCGGGUGAAAAGCCCGCUCGCCGGAAGACCAAGGGUUCCUGUCCAACGUUAAUCGGGGCAGGGUGAGUCGACCCCUAAGGCGAGGCCGAAAGGCGUAGUCGAUGGGAAACAGGUUAAUAUUCCUGUACUUGGUGUUACUGCGAAGGGGGGACGGAGAAGGCUAUGUUGGCCGGGCGACGGUUGUCCCGGUUUAAGCGUGUAGGCUGGUUUUCCAGGCAAAUCCGGAAAAUCAAGGCUGAGGCGUGAUGACGAGGCACUACGGUGCUGAAGCAACAAAUGCCCUGCUUCCAGGAAAAGCCUCUAAGCAUCAGGUAACAUCAAAUCGUACCCCAAACCGACACAGGUGGUCAGGUAGAGAAUACCAAGGCGCUUGAGAGAACUCGGGUGAAGGAACUAGGCAAAAUGGUGCCGUAACUUCGGGAGAAGGCACGCUGAUAUGUAGGUGAAGCGACUUGCUCGUGGAGCUGAAAUCAGUCGAAGAUACCAGCUGGCUGCAACUGUUUAUUAAAAACACAGCACUGUGCAAACACGAAAGUGGACGUAUACGGUGUGACGCCUGCCCGGUGCCGGAAGGUUAAUUGAUGGGGUUAGCGCAAGCGAAGCUCUUGAUCGAAGCCCCGGUAAACGGCGGCCGUAACUAUAACGGUCCUAAGGUAGCGAAAUUCCUUGUCGGGUAAGUUCCGACCUGCACGAAUGGCGUAAUGAUGGCCAGGCUGUCUCCACCCGAGACUCAGUGAAAUUGAACUCGCUGUGAAGAUGCAGUGUACCCGCGGCAAGACGGAAAGACCCCGUGAACCUUUACUAUAGCUUGACACUGAACAUUGAGCCUUGAUGUGUAGGAUAGGUGGGAGGCUUUGAAGUGUGGACGCCAGUCUGCAUGGAGCCGACCUUGAAAUACCACCCUUUAAUGUUUGAUGUUCUAACGUUGACCCGUAAUCCGGGUUGCGGACAGUGUCUGGUGGGUAGUUUGACUGGGGCGGUCUCCUCCUAAAGAGUAACGGAGGAGCACGAAGGUUGGCUAAUCCUGGUCGGACAUCAGGAGGUUAGUGCAAUGGCAUAAGCCAGCUUGACUGCGAGCGUGACGGCGCGAGCAGGUGCGAAAGCAGGUCAUAGUGAUCCGGUGGUUCUGAAUGGAAGGGCCAUCGCUCAACGGAUAAAAGGUACUCCGGGGAUAACAGGCUGAUACCGCCCAAGAGUUCAUAUCGACGGCGGUGUUUGGCACCUCGAUGUCGGCUCAUCACAUCCUGGGGCUGAAGUAGGUCCCAAGGGUAUGGCUGUUCGCCAUUUAAAGUGGUACGCGAGCUGGGUUUAGAACGUCGUGAGACAGUUCGGUCCCUAUCUGCCGUGGGCGCUGGAGAACUGAGGGGGGCUGCUCCUAGUACGAGAGGACCGGAGUGGACGCAUCACUGGUGUUCGGGUUGUCAUGCCAAUGGCACUGCCCGGUAGCUAAAUGCGGAAGAGAUAAGUGCUGAAAGCAUCUAAGCACGAAACUUGCCCCGAGAUGAGUUCUCCCUGACCCUUUAAGGGUCCUGAAGGAACGUUGAAGACGACGACGUUGAUAGGCCGGGUGUGUAAGCGCAGCGAUGCGUUGAGCUAACCGGUACUAAUGAACCGUGAGGCUUAACCU
rnacentral:rRNA from 1 species